rnacentral:SRP_RNA from 1 species
ACCAGGGUGUGGUGGUGCAGGCCUGUAAUCCCAGCUACUUAGGAGGCUGAGGCAGGAGAAUCACUCGAACCCAGGAGAUGGAGGUUGCAGUGAGCCGAGAUCGCGCCAUUGCACUCCAGCCUGAGCAACAAGAGCAAAACUCCAUCUAAAAAAAAAAAAAAAAAANNNNNNNNNNUGGAGUUUUGCUCUUGUUGCUCAGGCUGGAGUGCAAUGGCGCGAUCUCGGCUCACUGCAACCUCCAUCUCCUGGGUUCGAGUGAUUCUCCUGCCUCAG